AGUGAACGCUGGCGGUAGGCCUAACACAUGCAAGUCGAACGGCAGCACAGUAAGAGCUUGCUCUUACGGGUGGCGAGUGGCGGACGGGUGAGGAAUACAUCGGAAUCUACUUUUUCGUGGGGGAUAACGUAGGGAAACUUACGCCAAUACCGCAUACGACCUACGGGUGAAAGCAGGGGAUCUUCGGACCUUGCGCGAUUGAAUGAGCCGAUGUCGGAUUAGCUAGUUGGCGGGGUAAAGGCCCACCAAGGCGACGAUCCGUAGCUGGUCUGAGGGGAUGAUCAGCCACACUUGAACUGAGAAACGGUCCAGAAUCCUAAGGGAGGCAGCAGUGGGGAAUAUUGGAAAAAGGGCGCAAGGCUGAUCCAGCCAUACCGGGUGGGUGAAGAAGGCCUUUGGGUUGUAAAGCCCUUUUGUUGGGAAAGAAAAGCAGCAGGUUAAUACCCCGCUGUUCUGACGGUACCCAAAGAAUAAGCACCGGCUAACUUCGUG
rnacentral:rRNA from 1 species